rnacentral:rRNA from 1 species
GACGAACGCUGGCGGCGUGCUUAACACAUGCAAGUCGAACGGAAAGGCCCUGCUUGCAGGGUACUCGAGUGGCGAACGGGUGAGUAACACGUGGGUGAUCUGCCCUGCACUUCGGGAUAAGCCUGGGAAACUGGGUCUAAUACCGGAUAGGAGCCAUUUUUAGUGUGAUGGUUGGAAAGUUUUUUCGGUGUAGGAUGAGCUCGCGGCCUAUCAGCUUGUUGGUGGGGUAAUGGCCUACCAAGGCGGCGACGGGUAGCCGGCCUGAGAGGGUGGACGGCCACAUUGGGACUGAGAUACGGCCCAGACUCCUACGGGAGGCAGAAGUGGGGAAUAUUGCACAAGGGGCGCAAGCCUGAUGCAGCGACGCCGCGUGGGGGAUGACGGCCUUCGGGUUGUAAACUCCUUUCGCUAGGGACGAAGCUUUUUGUGACGGUACCUAGAUAAGAAGCACCGGCUAACUACGUG